ACCUUUAUUUAACCUAUGCAGAGAAAAAGUUCACAUAUGAUAAUCCAAAAUAUAAUGGAAAGUAUGUUGUUACGUGUCAUUGGGCAUUUUUAAGUGGGUAUAUGGAAAUCCUGGAGCUGUCUUAGUGUGUAUACUGCGUAUACCUGCGUAUCCUGUAGACUACACCAUUGGCUGGUAGAGAUUUAA